GAUCCUGGCUUAGGAUGAACGCUGGCGGCGUGCCUAACACAUGCAAGUCGAGCGAUUACUUCGGUAAAGAGCGGCGGACGGGUGAGUAACGCGUGGGUAACCUGCCUCAUACACAUGGAUAACAUACCGAAAGGUAUGCUAAUACAGGAUAAUAUAAGAGAUUCACAUGGAUUUCUUAUCAAAGCUCCGGCGGUAUGAGAUGGACCCGCGUCUGAUUAGCUAGUUGGUAAGGUAAUGGCUUACCAAGGCGACGAUCAGUAGCCGACCUGAGAGGGUGAUCGGCCACAUUGGAACUGAGACACGGUCCAAACUCCUACGGGAGGCAGCAGUGGGGAAUAUUGCACAAUGGGCGAAAGCCUGAUGCCAGCAACGCCGCGUGAGUGAUGAAGGCCUUCGGGUCGUAAAACUCUGUCCUCAAGGAAGAUAAUGACGGUACUUGAGGAGGAAGCCCCGGCUAACUACGUGCCAGCCGCUGC
rnacentral:rRNA from 1 species